AGUGGAAGCGUCUGGAAAGGCGUGCGAUACAGGGUGACAGCCCCGUACACAAAAAUGCACAUAUUGUGAGCUUGAUGAGUAGGGCGGGACACGUGGUAUCCUGUCUGAAUAUGGGGGGACCAUCCUCCAAGGCUAAAUACUCCUGACUGACCGAUAGUGAACCAGUACCGUGAGGGAAAGGCGAAAAGAACCCCGGCGAGGGGAGUGAAAAAGAACCUGAAACCGUGUACGUACAAGCAGUGGGAGCACGCUUAGGCGUGUGACUGCGUACCUUUUGUAUAAUGGGUCAGCGACUUAUAUUCUGUAGCAAGGUUAACCGAAUAGGGGAGCCGAAGGGAAACCGAGUCUUAACUGGGCGUUAAGUUGCAGGGUAUAGACCCGAAACCCGGUGAUCUAGCCAUGGGCAGGUUGAAGGUUGGGUAACACUAACUGGAGGACCGAACCGACUAAUGUUGAAAAAUUAGCGGAUGACUUGUGGCUGGGGGUGAAAGGCCAAUCAAACCGGGAGAUAGCUGGUUCUCCCCGAAAGCUAUUUAGGUAGCGCCUCGUGAAUUCAUCUCCGGGGGUAGAGCACUGUUUCGGCAAGGGGGUCAUCCCGACUUACCAACCCGAUGCAAACUGCGAAUACCGGAGAAUGUUAUCACGGGAGACACACGGCGGGUGCUAACGUCCGUCGUGAAGAGGGAAACAACCCAGACCGCCAGCUAAGGUCCCAAAGUCAUGGUUAAGUGGGAAACGAUGUGGGAAGGCCCAGACAGCCAGGAUGUUGGCUUAGAAGCAGCCAUCAUUUAAAGAAAGCGU
rnacentral:rRNA from 1 species